UACGUAGGGUGCGAGCGUUGUCCGGAAUUAUUGGGCGUAAAGAGCUCGUAGGCGGUUUGUCGCGUCUGCUGUGAAAGACCGGGGCUCAACUCCGGUUCUGCAGUGGGUACGGGCAGACUAGAGUGAUGUAGGGGAGACUGGAAUUCCUGGUGUAGCGGUGAAAUGCGCAGAUAUCAGGAGGAACACCGAUGGCGAAGGCAGGUCUCUGGGCCACUACUGACGCUGAGGUGCGAAAGCGUGGGGAGCAAACAGG
rnacentral:rRNA from 1 species